AUUUAAACUGUAUAUGUAUUUUAUAUCUACGAAAAUGUUGNUAUAUCUAUGAAAAUGUUGGGGUAAAACAUGGGUAGAUGUAAUAGGUGAUGUGUGAUAAAAUGAUGAGAGGCCUCGAUGUUGGUGUUGUUGAUUCUGUCAUCCAGCGGAGUAUGGAUGACGACCACGGACUCUUCUAGACAGUCCAUUGGAACACUAGCAGGCUCGCAACCUGUAGGUGUUUGUGAACGAUGUGUUCACCGGUGUACUCCAUCCCCCACAUGGUUGCCUUUAGGACAUUUAUUGCUGAGGAAUCCCCUUAGCAAUAGUGUCCAUCCCGAUAAUGAUCCUUAGGCUAGGUCCCUCAUGAUAGGUGUUUAGGGACGUAAAGUGAGGAUAACGGGAACGGGUAAUCGGGUUAUUGUUGAUUGAUGAAAUUAAUAAACUUAUUUGUUGUUGGUUGAAAACCCUAUGUAUUACAGGUAGUGGCGCUUGAGCAUAGAUAUAAUGUUUGGACAAGGGAUUACGGAUAUAGGCCUGUAGAUAUGAAAUAAUGUAGUAAGGCUUAUAUUGUACUGUUUAUGCUUUUGAUCUGUACGAACAUGACAUCCCAAGUCUUUUAAUGAAAUACAUUUCUAUGGAAAUGCUUUUGAUAAAUCUUUAUCAUAUUUUGUUUUGGGACAAAUUCCGCAACACUUUUAUUUAAAAUGUUACUAUGAUUUUUAAAC
rnacentral:lncRNA from 1 species